AGUGCUGUGGGUCUGGGGCUUGUGAAGGGAAGCCGAGAUGGGGGAGGGCUGGGGGAGGGCAGGGGCCCGGCCCCCAGGGCCAGCGACGGUCUCCUGAUCCAGACCCCCGGCCUGGUGUGGGCCCCGCGGGUCCGGGGUGCAGGUGGGGGGCACAGGGUUACCCACCCUGGGCACUUGGGGCUCCUCCUGGGCCCCAACCGAGCAGCCUCGGUGGCUGCCUUUCCCAAGCCACCAGGCCUGAAAGCUAGAGGCCCAGGGCGAAUAAAAGAGUCUGGGCAAAAGGCUCCAAGGCAGUUCAAAGAAGAGCGAGACUGGGGAUGGAGUUUUCAAGCCACAUCCAAGGGGAGGGCUUUUCAUCUGCCAGCCUUUGAAUGGGGAAUCAAGGCGGGCAAAGUUACUACCAGGUUAAAGUUUAAAUGGCACAGAAAGGGGAGCCGGGAAGAUGAAAGGGCGGCCGUCUGGCCAGGGGAACAAAGCCGGAGCCCGGCCCGGGCACCUGGCCGCAGAGGCCGGGCGAGGAGAGGCCGCGCCGCCAACGCCAUUGUUCGCUUAAGAAGCCGAGUAAUUGAAAGGAAAGGUGAGGCAAGGAGAGGCGGCCGGCGCGUGCGACUGCCUGGAUCGUUAGAAAAUAAUUUAAAGGGAACAGGCCUAUCAAGCCGGUUCUCUUAUGGAAAUGCCGGCGUUGAAGAGAAAGGGAGGGGACGGUGGGGGAAGCCUUUUCAUUCUUUGAAAAGCGGGAGUUUUUUCCCCCUCGCCCAGCGCAGACUUGAAGAGCGCGUGAAAUCUCUUCUGUUUGCAAACUUGCCUCAGUCCUUCAGGGCCCUGGGCUGGGGUCCUCUCCCGCACUCGGCGGCCGGGGGGCGCGGGGAGUUUUGGAGGGGCCACAGGGCUGCAGCUGCACGAGUGGUUCGUUCCAGAGACGGGUUCCCUGGUCACCUCCUGGUUGCUUCUGCGGGCUCCCCAGCUACCCACUGUGAUUUCUGCCGUCUGAAGGACAAGAACAGGAUCUGUGGGAAGCUUUGGACGGUGCCCAGGCCUGCCCCACGGCGAUCCUGUUUUUCCUGCUUCUUGCAGGCUCCCGUGACACUCAGCCAUCCCAUGGAGAUGUUCAAACCAGACCUUCCCGGAACAGUAGCCGGAGGACAGACCGGCUCUCCCUGCGAGAUGGAAGCCCAGGGGUGUCCAGCCUCCAUCUGUCUGUGAGCCUUCCCAGGGGCCCUGCAGCUCCUAUCAGGCCAUAGGCUUGACUGGACGUAGGCCAGCGGCGGGAGAACCUGCUCUGGCUGGCAUUGCAAGGUGCCAGGCACACCUGAGCAGCCGGGCAGGUGUGACAGAUGCCCUGGACCACAUGGAGCUGGCUGUGCCUUGCGCACACGCCACGGUCCCAUCCCACCUCCCCUCUCCAAACCUCCCUCCGCUUCCCGGCUAGCUCAGGUGUGGCGCAUCUGUGGCCCAUUGGCAGCUUUCUUGCCCGCAGUGCUAGGGAGCUGUCAGGUUAAAAGCUGGCUUGCUCGAUUUGAUCCCACAUGUGAGCUGUUUUAUUUCCCUCUCUCUCCCUUACAUGGCUUCGGUGUGCUUUUAUAAAUAUUUCACUAGCCUUGCUAAAGU
rnacentral:lncRNA from 12 species